rnacentral:rRNA from 1 species
UGGGGAAUAUUGGACAAUGGGGGAAACCCUGAUCCAGCCAUGCCGCGUGAGUGAUGAAGGCCUUAGGGUUGUAAAGCUCUUUUGUCAGGGAAGAUAAUGACGGUACCUGAAGAAUAAGACACGGCUAACUUCGUGCCAGCAGCCGCGGUAAUACGAAGGUGUCUAGCGUUGUUCGGAAUCACUGGGCGUAAAGCGCGCGCAGGCGGACUAUCAAGUCUGGGGUGAAAGCCCGAAGCUCAACUUCGGAAUUGCCUUGGAAACUGAUAGUCUGGAGUGCAAUAGGGGAUAGCGGAAUUCCAAAUGUAGAGGUGAAAUUCGUAGAUAUUUGGAGGAACACCGGUGGCGAAGGCGGCUAUCUGGAUUGCAACUGACGCUGAGGCGCGAAAGCGUGGGGAUCAAA